rnacentral:rRNA from 1 species
AUACGUAGGUGGCAAGCGUUGUCCGGAAUUAUUGGGCAUAAAGCGCGCGCAGGUGGUUCCUUAAGUCUGAUGUGAAAGCCCCCGGCUCAACCGGGGAGGGUCAUUGGAAACUGGGGAACUUGAGUGCAGAAGAGGAUAGUGGAAUUCCAAGUGUAGCGGUGAAAUGCGUAGAGAUUUGGAGGAACACCAGUGGCGAAGGCGUAUGUCUGGUCUGUAACUGACACUGAGGCGCAAAAGCUGAGGGAGCAAUCAGGAUUAGAUACCUUGGUAGUCCACGCCGUAAACGAUGAGUGCUAAGUGUUGGGGGGUUUCCGCCCCUCAGUGCUGCAGGUAACGCAUUAAGCACUCCGCCUGGGGAGUACGGUCGCAAGACUGAGACUCGAAUGAAUUGACGGGG